AUCUGCUAUGGCAAGGAGGAUUGGGGGACUGUCAAAUGGAGAGGAUCAACCAUGCAGCAUCCAGUUCAACGUGAUGGCAGUAGCUGUGGGGUCAUUGUCACCAUGAUAGCAAGGGCAGUGAUGGAAGCCUUCCCUGCGUUACCAGGUAUGUCCUUUGGGACAUCCAAAUAGGAGAUGGCUUGUGAGAGGACACUUGCACUUUCAAUACUCAGUGGUUCAGAUACAGUGUGAUAGCUGUGAUAGAUGGUUCCAUGUGCAGUGCCUGGGGAUGAGUAAGGAC